GGCUGGAAACCUCCAGAAUCCUCUGGCCCCAGAUCCUCCCCAGGGACCCCUGUGGCUUAUCUCACCAGAGCAUUCUUCCAUCUGUAGAUUUCUUGGCUGCUCCACAAGGGAGUCCCACUUCAGGUGUGGUGCUGGGCAUGGUCACUCCUGCUGGAUGUUUAGAAGGUGGAAACCAAGGACCUAGGGAAAUACCAGGUACAGCCUUUCCACCCUCAUCCAGAGAAGGACAAAGAGGCCAGGCGGUGUCAGGAGCCCAGGUCUCCAGCUGGAGGUAACGUCAACCCCGCAGUGAGAGCAGGGGCCCAUUGCACAUCCUAGGCAGAGAUGGUAACGUAGGCACCACAGGUAUGCAGGGAUUGGUACCCCUCCCUGGCGUCAGAAAGAAGCCAAACAAGGAGCUUUCUGCAGAAUGAAACCUUUCCUUUCAGAAGCACUGCUGACAGUUUGGUGGUUGCCAUUGGGGCAGUGAGCCUUUUGUCCAUUCUGAGGUUGGGCUGGUUUCUCCUCUUGGCCGUGCCCUACAGACCAUAAAGGAAAUCAGCUAGAAGUCCCCAGAAACAUCCACAGAUGGCCCUGGACAUCAGCCACAUUCUGAGAAACAUGUCAUGUUCUGGGAGGUCUAAGGCAUCAAGUAAGUCUUAUGGGGCUGGAGGAUCCCAGGGCAGGUGGGGCAAUCCAGAGCCAUGGGGGCUUCCCAUGGGAAUUGGGAGGUCCCAAGGCAGAUGCAGGGGUUCCACAGGAGGAGUCCCAGAGCCACCAAGCGCUCUCCUGUCCCAGGGAGCAGUCAACACCAUGGACUGAACAGUUACUGGGCUUCAAGCUCUGGGCCAGGCUGGGGCAUGUGGGGCCAUGAGGGAGCUCAGAGUGGGAGACAGAGAGACAAUUGUGCUCAGAGGGCACCCAUUUCUGGGUGUAAUGUGGUCCUGAGAUUUUGGCUGAGAAGGGUUUCCAGGGUUUCAUAUGUGUUAUGGAGCUGCUUCCUCUCCCCAGCCUCACCUUGCAGGAAUCCCAGUGAAUAUAUUGCCACCCUAUUUGAGCUCAGUGCCCUCAUAGUGUAAUGGCACCAGCAGAUCUGCCUGUGCAUGGACUUCCUGUACUACCCAUUCCUGAGGGGUGAUGCUUCUGCAGGGCCUGUGACCUUGUGCACAACUUUAGACACCAUCAUCCUGGAGCAGCCCUGCACCCUCACUAGCCAGGGUGUUCAUGACUUCCUCAAGACCAAGGCCACGUUCAAGACUUGGGACUUCAGUGAUGCACUUGUGCUGGGCAAGGUGGCUUCUCCAGUAUCUUAAUUUGGGAGGUAGAAUGCAGCUUGAGAUCAAAUGUCUGAUCAAAGAACUUGAACUUGAGCUGGAGGGCUCUGGGGAGCCAUAGAAGGUGCUGGAUAAAGGAGGGACAGUCAGAUAUAUUUUAGAGAUGACUGUAGAAGGCUGCCUGGAAGGAGUGAACAAGAGCCAGGAGACCCGGGAGGGAGCUUGUGGGGCAGGUCUGGAGAUGGCAAGGGAGGGAUCCUGCUUGGAUGAAAAGUCUUCAGGGACUGUCUCAGGUUACACUCAGGUGCCCUCAGAGCUAAUGUGUUCAGAGGUCUUGUCUCCAGGAUGAAAAUGGGAAGGAGUUGUCAGAUGAGGACAUAUAAAUGGAGGCUGGCAUCUUCAUGAGUACCAGCGGUGGUCCCGGUGUGGGUCUCUCCAUCCAGGGACAUGGUGGAUGGACACUACAUCACUCCAUUCUGCCCUUCCUUUCCCUCCUCCCAUUCUCCCGAGGGCCUCAGUGCAUGGGCGCUGUCCAACCUCUGGUGCUGAAGCAGCCAAGAGACGCAAGCCUGCGUGGCUGCCUCUUAGGAUAUGACAGCACAGCCACUGGCCUCUACUGAAUCCUAUGCAACCUCAGAAGACACCCAGGAGUGAUGCCAUCAUGUGGUGCAAGAGUUCUGAGGGACCACAAUCCUGAAGACAUUGAAUGGUGGGUGCAGGGCCUCAUGGCCUGUUCCCCAGCUCCUCUCAUUGGCUCUGCUCCAGGUGGUGAAGGGGGAUAACAUUUCUGUCAAUUCUGCCACGAUUGCCUAGCAGGAAAAGGAGCAGAGCCCAGAAGCAGGGCCUGGUAUGCAGCCUGCCUAACAAGGAAGAAUUUAUAGGCUCUGUGGACAGAAAGAUCUGGGAGUCCAUAUCUAUCACCCACUAGCUUGCUGAGACAUUAGUAAAGUCAGUUUUCUGGACUACAUUUCUGUCAUCUGUAAAUUAAGAGGAAUUUCUUCUACCCCACAAGGCUUCUUGGAUAAUUAGUGACAGUGUGUGUAGAGUAGGUGCCACCCAGCCAGCAUUUGGUGUCCAGAACACUCCUCUUCCCCCUUGAUUUUCUGCCUAAAUUUGCAUUUUCUUCUUAAGAUUUUCACUCCCCUUAAUUCUGCUCUUCCCUCUGAUUUCUGCCUUACUGUAUAUCCCAUGGAGUCACCAGGAUCAAAGUGGGUAACAGUCAUGUAUGCAUGUAUGUGUGUGUACAUAUACACAUUGUUGGGGCUGGAGUGUGGUGUGUGGGUAAGUGUAUGAGUUGGAAUCACUGACUGAAACUCUCCACACCAGGCUGUGUUCCUGCUCAUUGCUGGAGGUACUGUCAGGGUCCCUGUCCUCAACCCCUGGUCUGACACUUGCAGAUCAGGCAGGACAUUCUGGAGGAAUCAUGCCCUUGGAAGGAUCCCUGAGGAGUGACUGGUGGGUAUUGGUGGAUAAAUACCCCAGCUCCCUUGCUUUGGGUGGGUGACUCUGAGGCACAUGUUCUGUGCUGUCUCUGCAGAUGUACCUGGCAGGGCUGAGUCCUGGCUGCCACAGGGGAAACUUUCUUGAUGAAGGUCCCUUUAACUGCUGCAUUCCUUUCCUGUCUCAGUUCCCCACUCCUCUACUGGUGUUUCCUGGGAUACGCACCCUAAGGAAGAACUGGCAGUCGAAUUACUAUCCUAGAGUUAUCUCCAAAUAGAAUUUUUGUAUUUGAAUAUUUGCCUCAGGAUCUACUUCCAGGAAAAUUAUACUAAGGCACACAUUUUUCUGUCAGCUCCUUCAAUCCCCAUAGGCCUGCCAUUGUGCUGUUUUUAUCAAAAGGGAAUAUGAGGAUCAGAGAGGGGAAGUCACUUGCCCAAAGUCACCCAGCUGAACAGUGGUGGAGUUCAACUUUGACCAUGGGAAGUCUGGCCCCAAGGUGGAUGCUUGUUUGUAUCCCAUGAGACUCCUCCCUUACCAGGGUCAAAUGAAUGAAUGGAGGAUGUUAAAAGUAGAGUCUCUGAUGCCUCUCCAGAGAAACCCAGGCUCAUGGCUGGCACCUGUGUUCUCACUCUUACCUCUUUAAGAGUAUAAUGAAAAACAUGCUCAGUGCUGACUGUGUGCCUGGGGGUGUUGUAGGCACUCUGCUUACUUUAAUUCAUUUAAUUUUUACAAUAACCUUGUUUUUACUUCUAGUUGUUAGAUUAAAAAACAGUGGCAAAGAGCAAUACAGAGAGUUGCCAAAAUUCACACCGCUGGUCCAGGUUUGAAGCAAGCAGUCUGUACCUGCAGUCCUUGUCUGUAACCAUGGCACCCUGGCUUCUCACACAUCUCAUCGUGGAGUUCCACCAUGUGUCAGGCAUGGCACUGAGCACCUUCUUUUAAGAAUAUAAUUUGUAAUUAUGUAGAUUAUUAAUUCUACUUCAAAAUGCCACACAGCCUUCAUGUGAUAAAAUGAAACAAUUGGUGAGUCUAAGCAUUGAGAAAAAACGUUCUUUUUUCCACUCCCGACUCCAUUCCAACAGUUGGGACAGUGUUUUCUCUGUGCCUGUAGAAACCUCAGCUCCUGGGCUGAGGAGCCUGUUCCCUUUGGGGAAUGUGGCAGUCAGGUACUGGCAGGGACCUCGAAGCGGCUGAAGGGUCAUUAAGAAAAAGCUGUUUACAUAGGUGUGGGCAGGGCCAAGGGGAACCAGGGGUGAUGGCGCAGGGCCCUGGGGUUAGCGUCAUCUGGGAGCUGUCACCACCCUCCAGGCUGGUGGGGCCAUGGAGAAGCUGUUCCAGUAACUCGGAGAAUCUGCAGCUGAAAGAGGAGGCCAGAGGAGACAUCACUCACUGUGCCCUUUGACUGCAUCUGGAUGCCCCCACUGACCACACUACCAUCCCCUUAUUAGACUGGAGAGGCUGCAGGGAGGGGUUCUAAGCCUCCUAUAGUGGCUCACCUCCAACAGUGAGUCAGCACCAGCCCCCCUAGUCCCACAGCACAGGGUCCACUUAGACACUGUAUCCUGCGUGGUCCCCUUUCCUGCUGGGAAGCAGAUAUCCAAAUGAGCAGCAGAAUCCUGUCUCUCCCUUCAGGCCCCUCUGCUCCUUAUGAGUGGUGUUUUCCCUUGGUUUUGGAUGAGAAACACCCUUUCCCCUUCCAGAGGGAUUGUUUCUGUGGACCCCACCCUGAGUUUUCCCCUGGUUAGGCAACGGGCAGGUGGGGGUGGUGGAACCAACUCUUUAGAACCAGCAAUGACAAACAGAUCCCACUUGGGGGAAGUUGAUGUUAAGUGUCAUGGGUCCUCUGGAAUUUUCUGAAGCUUUCCUGUUUUUUUUUUUCUCCCCCUAACCAGCUCAACUGAUCUCCUGGGAUCUCUACUAAGAUGUUGGCAGCCCGGCCAGCUGGUCUGGCCCUGGACGUGCCUUCAUGGUCUGGUUAUGCUUCAUGACCUGCACUGUGGUCAGUGGUAAGCAGCACCUGCUUCUAGCUUUACUGUUGGGUCAGAUUUUAUCCCCACUCCAGCUCUGCAGUGCGGCUGCUUCUUGUUUCAUCCAUGGACCCUGCACGAAAUUGCCCCAUGUUUCUGUUUGUGCAUCACUGAGAAAGGAAGCAUGAAGGACGCACAGGUCAGGCCAUUCCAUUGCCCUCCUGGUGCCGGGUUUGCCCUCCCAAUCCUGGGGUUGCUUCAGGGGCUUGUCAUUCUCCAUAGUCCCCUCCACAUUUCUCAGGUUUCUGCUCAAAAGUCACCUUUUGGAGGGGUCUCCACCUGUCACUGUGUUUGUAAGAGCUCCUUCAGUUUCUUUCUAGCUCAUCUCACUCUGGUAAUGUCUUUGAUUACCACCACCAUCUGACCUGGUCUUAUGACCUGUUAGCUUUCUUCAUCAGACGUGAGCACCAGGAUGGCAGGGGCCUCAUCUGUCCUGUUCCUCCUGUGGCCUGGGUCCUAGCACCAUGUCUGGUACAGUGUAGAUGCUCAAGGGAAGUUUACUUUGUAGAACCACUUACCUGGGAGAUGUUACUGUUAGUCUAACCUGUACCAUUUUGUAAACCUCCAGCCAUUUUGCAGACUCUGAUCACAGUGAAACGUUCCAUGGGAACUUGGGCCAUGAGAAACAUCCUUCCUAACCACGUGACUGCAGAAACAUCCUUAUCGCGUCCUCCUGGGCAAAGGCCCAACAGCCUGACUGCAGGGACAUCCUUGCCAUAUCCUGCUGGGCAGCAAGCUCUACCACCCAGAUCCCUCCCUCCCAGUCCCAUGAUUACCCCAGCCUGUGAGUGGCAGUUGGUGCUGGCACUAAGCUGGUUUCCUCCUCCCCAGGGUUUUGCUGGCAAUAAAGAUGUUGCUGUUGAAGCCA
rnacentral:lncRNA from 1 species